ensembl:lncRNA
AUUAUACUCCCAGUUAAUCUGAAAAAGCUGGGUGCCUCUGUAGGCUCGUUUCUGGCAAAAGUUAUAAAAGUCUCUUUAUUAUAAGUACCUGUUCUGUUGCCUACCAUUAUCUGACAAGGUUACCCUCUGUUUUGCCCAUUCUCUUCCAUUAUCGGAGUGUGGAGCCUUGCCUGGGGAUUUUUCUUCCCUAUCUUCACCACUGAGUCAUUUAGCUGGCUUUUGGGAUGGAGCUGUUCCUCUGCUCAAGACAAAUUAAAUUGAGGUAAAAACAGCAAAAUCAGGAGACUGUCUGACAUUUAGGUGGUGACAGUGCUUCAAACGCCUGGCAUGACUACGCAGGGUUAAAAGAGCUUACACUUUAGAAGAGCUUACACCUAUAAACAAUGAAAUUUACAUGCUUCAGAGGCUUUCUAUCUCCUUAUCUUGUCCGCGAGGAAUUAAUAAGCUAGAAGCAUUCAGCUCAGAGUGGUGGCUUCUUUGCGUACCUUUUAUUAAGUAGCUGAGGCGUGAGGAGACUGUAGCUUGAUACAUUUACAUAGACUGCAGCUGACGGACAUGAGGAGUUUUCUUUUGAUGCACUUUCUUUAAUCCCUUGCACACCAAUUCAAUUCCAGCAGGUGAUAAAAUAUCCUUGCCUGGUGUUAUAAAAAUAUUCUGCUCUUAUGUGCUGACUUAUCCACUGAGAUCUCCAAAUAUUUUGUAAACCUUUUGACAGAACGAUUGUGAGGCAAGUUUCUUUAAUCUUAUUUCCUGCUUAAAGUGAGGAAGAAAGGGAUGAAUUAAUUAGACCAAGGUUAGCAUCUAAGUUACAAGGUCUAGAGCUGUAUCUAACACUUUUUUUAGUUAUACUUAGCAGCAACUCUUUCAAAAGGUUUUUCUUUUCUUUCUUUAUCUUAAAAUACAUCAUCACCAACUUGAUUCUAAUGCCCCCCCCCCCCUCUUUUUUUUUUAAAGUAAUAAGGAGAUUUUCAAAAAAUCUCUGUGCUUCACAUUUCUUCAUUUCUUGAUUCUUCUUCAACAGUUUCUCGAUUCCAUUCUUACGUCUUCUGUCUUCUCAUUUUUCUCCAUCUUUUUUCCCUUGGUCCUGAUCUUUGAUGCCUUGUGCCAUCCAGUGUGAAUCCCACUCCUCUGUGGCUUACAGAAAACAAAAGGAGCAGGAUACGUAACUAUAAUGGUUUAAUGCUUGCCCUUUCUUGCUUGUCCUUUGUUUCCUCUGAAGACUUCCUCGUGCGUGUGGAAAAGAGACCGAGGCAGGCUCAAUUUUAUCACAGAAUCAUAGGCACUGGAAGGGACCUCUGAACAUCAUCUGCUAAAUCCAGUGAUUUGUGAUUCCCCCAAGAAGUGUAAAGACCAAAUGGCUCUAUUUACAGGAAAAAAAGCUUGUAAAGAGAAAAACCUCGACCUGAGUCUGCACAGCUGUAUUGUUUUGGGAGGAAAAGGUGGGAGGGGAGGCUGGUCCUGUUGCUGUUUUGUUCAACACAAAGGUUCAAUUUCCUUGACAAAUGAUGGACACUACCUCCAGAAUUGGAACUCUGAUCCCAAAGGGGCCCUGUGUUAUUAUAACAUAAAGAAUGGUUAUUAAACUGUCAGAGGGUUAAUAGUUUCAUCUUAAUAAUCUUGAUAGAUGGUGCACAUUUCACCAGUGCUCCAAAAGCCCACAAUGAGCUUUAAAAUAUUUUACUAUUGGCUUGCCCUUCAUUUCCCAAAGAAGUCUAAGGAGAACGCUUCUUACUAAUAAAUUCUUUAUCAUAACUUAGCUGGUUUUCCCCUUAUAGAAGGGAAGUACAUCUUUGCUGUGCUGCCUGAUUAAUUGGUCUAAUUUUAUCAGGAAAAUUAAAUCCUCUUCUUUAUCUAGGAACUUAUUCAAAGAGAUCUGAGCCUAAAUCCCAGCCCAUGAGCCUGAUGACUAUUCUGCAUAAGCAUCUCUACACUUUAUUAACUUAUUACUUUUAAAGUGAUUUCUGCCUGAAGGAUUCCCUUCAACAUUGAGGGCCAUUUGUCUUCUGUUCUCAGGAUUUCAGGAUGACAAAUGGAAUGUCAGAUAUGACUUACUCUGAGACCUUAAAGGAUUCAUGUGGUAUAGCUCUUAACUGUACCUCAAGGUUCUGUAGGAUGUUACCUCUGAAGCUGGCCAAUUUUGAUGACCAAACAAACAUCUGAUUGCCUUUACAACUGGAGAAGUAGCUGAAGUCUAAAUUGAAGUAGUUCUUAAACUACUGUUGAUCAUUCAGUGAGGAAAGGCUAAUAAAUGUGUACAUAAAUAUGUAUAAGAGUUGAUCCCAGUAGUGGAAAUCAUGGUAAUAAUUAUGUAAUAAUAAGCUAGUAAUAAAGAUUAUGACAAAGGAGUCUCAGCAACUUGAAACAAUACAAGCCAAUGCUUUGCUUCUCCUCACUUUGGCUCGUAUCUUAAAAAGAACAUGUCCCCAAACGUGUAGAGAUAAUGAAGACAAAAAAAGCUCAAUAUUUGUAUAUAACAGUUUGAAAUGCAUGCAUUUAUAAGAGUAAAUGUAUAUUAAAGCAUGGAAAAGUCUCCCCAUCUUUUUCAUGAUUAAGUUGCAUUUGGAUUCAGUGUUCAUACCAUAAAAGUGAUAUUAAACUUGAGGAGAAGGUAUGGGUCUGGCCAUGAUGUUGUCACCUUUAUCUUUAAGUGUACUGAAAUAUCCUAAACCUGACAAAGCACAAAGUCUGGAGAAUUAUCUUAUGGUGAAAGAUGAAACAAAAUAACAUGUCCUCUGUCCUUCACUGUCAACAUGAUGACUUAUAAGCAUUCUUUUUCUCUGCAUUUUCCUCCUAUUAAAAUCAUCCUGUCUGAGCAAAACGGCCUGCGACAGAUGACAAAUAUGGGAUAUUUCAUGGACAAAAAUCACACUCUAAAUUGGAUAUGCUGUGAGAGUAUUGCAACCUGAUAUGCUGAAGCUUAACAGAAAUGCAAAAGACAUUCUUCACUCUGUCAGAUACUGUCUGCCACAUGACUUUCCAUGUAGUUUACUCCAUUAGGCGUAGGAUGAUUUUUCCUUGUUUUGACUCUUCUGGUUGAAAGGUUGGUUACUGUGACUUUAUGUGGAAGAUAACAGCUGCAGAAACUGACCAGUUAAAUAUAUGAUGGCAAAACAGAGGAUACUGUCAUAAACAUAAUACAAUAAGCACGAUAUAAUCUUCAUAGCUUUGUUGUUUCACUUGUUGAGAUUCUGGAGAUCUUCAGUGCAGAAAUUAGCUUCUUGCUUCUACAAAACCCAGGCUGCAAAAUCAUCUUUAUUUAGAAAUUCCAUCCUAUUGUGAAAUACGUUUAUUUAGCAAUGAGAAGGGAAAGUGAAGAGAAAAGGAAGGACCACAUUAAGACUUCAGAGGUAUAAAAAAUAAUCUGUGAGGAGGGAAGUAGUAAUCUAGUUUUUAUACUCCUGGUAGAUAGGACAGGAAGUGCUGAGGUUUAUGCUUUAUCAAAAAAGAUUGGUUUACACACUAGACCUAUCUGUGUGUGUGUGUGUGUGUGUGUGAGAGAGAGAGAGAGAGAGAGAGAGAGAGUGUUUAAUGGUAAGGUUUGUGAAGAAAGUGUUCCUGUGUCAGGAUUGUGGAGGAUGGAGUCAAUAAUUUCUUAAGGGCCCUUCCUGCUGUAUUGUUCUAUGAUCUUGUGCCAUGCAUUUUUCUUCAUGUGAAGUAACAUUUUGUUCAUUCGAUGAAUAGAUAGAAAUUCCUUCCCUGUGAAUCCAUUUCUAGUGUUUUUUAGUACGUUAAUUUGAUAGCCAUCUGCCAUUUUUUUUUAAAUGAGCACUUUGACAAAUCUAUUAUCUCACCUCCUAAAGCAUUAAUUGGAAUCCCUUAGUUCUGAAGCCCUUUCUACGUAGUUGAAGAGUUAUUUAUGGUACCUUUUAGUUGUGAAUAAAUUCCAGGCAUCCAGAGGUGGGGCAUAUUUCUUUGCUAGUGAGUUCUUAUUUUCAUGUGAUAAAGGUCUCCAGUUCUCGAGUUCAUUUUCUCUGAAUGUGACUUUUUUUUUUUUUUGUCCAAGACUAUAUCUGAUGACCAGUGCUGUAUGGAUCACAGCUCCGUUGGUCAGUAGUUUGUGUAAAUUUUCUUUCUUUUGUAUAUGAGGAAAAGGUUUUAUGUGUUAGAGGAAAUAAAUCCUGUUAUGUUGACAUGGUCUCUAUCCUCCAGUGAUUAUCUGCGCUUCAGAGGUUUGAGUAGGCUGUAAAGACUGCCUAACUGCCUUGCUCAAGGUCUUCUCAGAGGAAGGAAACUUCAGGCUUUAGAGUCCAUCCAGCUAUUCCGUGUCACUUGGUCUCAGGACUACUUGGAGCAUUGGUAGUGGGAAGUGCGAAAACAUAAGAAUAAUUUAGAGCAACUUCAAAUGUCUGAAUAGUGGAGAGGGUGCAUAAACCAUAACUUUUCUCCCUCUUGGGACUGACUUCAGCUCAGCUAAACCCAAAGUUUUGGGCUUCCGUGUUUAGGUGCAUUCUGUGUUUACUGUGUUUGAUUGCCAAAGCCCUGAUGAUUAGCAGUGACUGGGAUGUAAAAUCUAAUCCAUGAGGGAUUUCUGAAAACUGAGAUAAUGCACAUUAAGAUGACUGACUAUGGCCUGAUUAGUAACAAUACAGGGAAUACAGGGUCAGAUUGUUUUUCUUGUUGUUGUUGUUUUUUUUUCCCCUGGUUUUUCUUUUUUCUUUUCUUUUUUUUUUUUUUUUUGGUAGUAUGACUAGUAACCUUAGUGCAGGAUCUCAAACACACAAGCACAUUGCAAAAUUCUCCCUUUUAGCUUACUCGAUCAGUUUACAGAAUACCACGCAUGACUGCCUAAGCAUCUUUCUUCAAUACAGAUAGUUUAUGGCCAGUUUCAAUUUAAGAGACAUAUACUGAAUGUGUCAUGCAAACAGUAGUGCAAUUUUGUUAGGAUUUCUGAAAUAAGAGUUUAAAAUAUUCCUAUAUCAUAUGUGUGGUGUUCAGAAUCUACUAAUUGUGUUUUUGUACUUCAGGAUGGCAUAUUAAGAAAUACUAAUUUUUUGGCCUGGAAGAUGUUGAGUACAUAGUCACUGACAAUUGUUAACUAUUGAAAGAGGGGCUUGUUUGAAUAGUACCGCAAUUCUACAAUAAAACAGAAUUUUAGUUAAAAGCCUAUUUUGGAAUAAAUAAAUAGUGCUAAUAUACACAAGAUAAAAGAAGGCAACACAGCAGUCAAAGCAAUCAAAGACAUUAGGAAGUUCAGUAAACUGGAAUGAGAUUCUUUGCUUACUAGGAAAAAAUCAUGAUAUGUCAAUAGGGUUUUACAGGCUAGUAUCUACAAAAAUUUUAAAGAGUAUUAGAAAUAAAAUUAGGAAAAUGAUACAGAACAGUUGUUUUGGGUGGAAAUUUUGCUGUUAGCCAAGGCAAACCCACCACACCUGUUAGUAAGUGGAAGGGAAGAUGUCAAUAACUGAUGCAGGAAUGGCAGAGGUAUUUCAUUAAAAUCUUCUGUGUAGAGAAAGAAAAGAAAUAAUAUGCAUAAUACUUCUUGAAGAUGUGGGCGUACUUUUCAAUCCAAUGGUAAUUUUGAGGAGGUUGUUGAAUGAUGUCUCUUAGAGAUUAACACCCAGACUUGCUGACUUAAGAUGACUUUUAUCAAUGAUAGAAAAGAGUUGCAUGAAAUUGUAUUUUUUUAUUCUCCAUACUUCGUGGAUUUGGGAAGUCUUACAAUUACUGUUUCAAGACAAACUUGGUGGUAUGGACUGUAAAAAUCCUGUUAGCAUAAUGUCUACCUCAGACUCUAUAUUAGGCAAAUGAUGUAGAUUUAAUUUAUAAGGAAUUGAUACAUUUACAUAAAAGUAAAUGCUAGUAGAUAUGAAUUUUGAAGAAUGUCAAAAUAGGUGUUACUGAUUAAGCACUUCAAUAUCUGUGAAGAUAUAAUAGACCUUGUAAUAUUGUGGUUGCCUGAAGAUGUAGCACUCAUUGGAUUUGUCACUGUACCUUUAGCUUAUUGGGAACUUGCCGGGUGUGGAAGCAGUUGUCAAUGGGGAACUUGCUACCCAAAACAAGAGUGGCAGUACUGAUGCCUCUAAUGGACCUUCCUGUGCCAAUGUUAUUCACCAUCUGCAUCUAUCAUCUGGAAAUAAAUGCACCCUAAGACUGAUUACAAACUUGCGGAGUCACUCAAAGGACACCAGAAUGUUUUAAAAAAAUAAUAAUUAAAAAAAAAAAAAAAAAGAGGACGAAUAGCAGUUAUUGAGUUAUUGCAAAUCUAGAUCACAGACAAGCUGGUCACAUUACAAUGAUCAGAAUUUUGAAGAAGCCAAGAAAGGAAAAACAAUUUAGAAGCAGUGAAUGUCAAUGAUCACUCUGAAAUAGUGAACCGUAUCUUCAAAAAGUAAGAAAGGGUUUAGAUGUUUCAUAAGACAAGAAUCUCAAGCCUUCAGUGCAAGACAGCACCCAAAAGGCCUGCUGAGAUCUGUAGCUGUUGAAAAGAGGUACUAAAAACCAGAGGAAAAAAGACAGAAAUUUAUUUCUGCAGGGCAUUGGCAAAAUGUCUGUCGAAGCACUUUGCUUAAUUCUGGUAACUAUCUUAACGAUGAUAAAAAAUUAAGGCCAGUGUAGAAAACAGGCUCCAAAGUCAUCCUAGAAGAUUCUUAGCAAUGAGAAAUACAAGAACAGUUAAAUCUAUGCAGGUAUCAGAAAGAUUACUCUAAGAUGAUUUGAUUGCAAAAUUUAAGUGCCUUCAAGGAGAGAAAAUACUGGGUAUUAACAGGCUCUUCAGCCCAGUGUAGAAGGACAUGGCAAAUCAGUGGCUGUAAGCUGAUGUUGGACAAACUAAUGUAGUAAUGGGACACAGUUUUAACUUUGUAAUCUCUGGUACAAGCUCCCAAGGGAAGUGUUUUUAGGUGCUGUGUUUCAAAUCAAGAUUCAGUGCUGCUCUGGAAAACAUCCUUUAGCUGUACAGAAGUUAUUGGGCUUGUUUCAUGGGUAACUGGGUAAAAUUUAGUGGUGGUGUAGUGUACAGGAGGUCACUCAAAAUGAUUAUAAUGGUCUUGUUUGCCUUUAAGCUCUAUCAAUAAAAGUUUAAGUUAAACUCAAGCUCUCAUCCUUCAUUCUGUAGACUAUGAUAGGUUGUUUGAAUUCCAUUUUAUUCUCUAGUACAAGCCUUGCUUUAUUGCCUCCAAUAUUUAUAUACAAGAAUUGAGGAGAGGUGACACUGCAGUUGCUCAUCCCUGAACCACACUGUGGCUUGUGCCCGUGAUGAGGACAGCCUAAGCUGUGACUGCUUGCUCAAGGACUGGAUUGUCUUUGUUGCUUUCUGAUAACACACAUUGCUGUGGCUUUAAGUGCCACGCAGCCCAGCCCGCUGUGUUUGGGGCGAGUCAGCUCUGCCAGCUUUAAUCACUCACUUUAGCCUUGUGAAGAGGAAGGAGCAGAAAACGCUGCUCAGCAAGGCUGCAAGGCCAUGAAAUUGCGUUAAGCAACAGUCAUGAAAAUGACUGGAUUUGCUAUUUUAGUGUAAGUGUCUAAAUGUUUUUGAAAUUGUAAUUUUCUUGUGCUGUUAUGUGUAAAGGUGACCGCUCUGUGUUGGGCCCCCGGCAGUUGGCUGCAGACAGCUCAUCAGCUUGAUUCAUUUGGCAGGGGGGUCAGUCAGCACCUUCUCUGCAGCUGCAAAGCAGGAUUGAGCUCCUCACUGAUUUGCAAGGAUAUAAUGACAUCUACUAGAAAAUGCAGAACUUUCUGAAGAUGCAUUACGGUUUAAUUUUUGUGGCAGCAAUAUUCCUACCAGGGGCGCAAAGAUUAUAAUCCUUAUUCAACUUGCUAGCAACCACUUCAGGAAUAGAAAGGGCAGUGUCACUUGAGGAAUCUCAAAUUCCUGCUGGGGAAGCAGGCCCGAAUGAAUACAUUUUUGCAAUCAUGUCUCUUUCUAUUUCACUUUCAUCUUGUGUUUAAAAUUGCAGUACUGUAAGAAGUAAGGCUUGCAUUGUUUGGGUACUGCUGAGUUUGGCCACAUGAUGGCACACAUCAGUCAAAUCAACGUUACAGUACCAUCUGGAGAACUGUGACUGGAGAGGAGUUAAAGCUGGUACUCAGGGCUCCAGUGCUCAGGGUUUGUGGUCCCUCACUGCCAGUUUGAUCCACAGUUUACCAUCAUCGGUGAGGGUCAGUGAUCGUGACUCAGCCACAAGCUGGAGGAAAACAAAACAAAACAAAACAAAAGGCUAUCUUUCCAGAAGGACUGCUGGCAAGAGAACUUCUCUUUUUCUGUUCAUGUUGGUUUGGUUUUCUCUUCAAACACCUAGGGAUCAGGAAAACUUUUUUAUUUUUCCAACGUAUAGAUGAGAAAUAAUGUGUUGUAUUUGUUUUGUGAGAUAUAAGGGGAUUUUUUUUUUGUAAAUAAUCUUCCACUAGGUAAUAUUCUCUGCCUCCCUGAUGUUAUUUAUCCCUUGCUGCGGAGGUGGCUGGUGAAAACAUCUAUAGGAUCAGAGUGGUGUUGCAUGUUUUCACUAAGUCGAAUAGCAUGUACUGAUAAUCAGCCUCAAAACAUUGCUAUGAAAUUUAUACUUAUUACGGUGUCAGUGCUGUUACUUCCCAUAUCUUGCAUUUGUUUCUACUGUCUGUCAUUACUAAUAAAACAACUCAACCUUACUGUUAUCAUAGCUCUUAAACCAGCUAAUCUUUAAGGAAAAAAACUGUAUGCUGGGGGGAAGAAUCAUAAUUUGCUCUAAGGAGAAAUCUAAGUUGCAUGGAAUAUGUGGAAGUGUGUUUUGUGUUAAUUCUGAGGGUAGCAGCUGAAGGCCAGUAGACCACAGAGCAAUGCUGCAUAAACAUAUAACAAGAAUUACAGUCUCGGUUCCAAAAUGCUUGGAGUUAAAGACCAAACAUCCCUGGGGAUGUAGGAAAUAAAUGCAGGGUCUGUAGAAAGCUCUGUGGGCUCUCACACUUUGCUGCGCUGCAAAUAAGAGGAUAAUAGCAAUGAGACAAAUGUGAAACGGUAAUUUGGAAAUUUGCAGAGAUGACUGUAAGGAAGCCCUUCAUUUUCCAUUCACAGUUUUUUUUUUUCUGCAGUGUGCUACCUGGCUUGACAAGGAUAAGGACACAUGAAUCUGAAGUAAGACUUGGACUGAGACAUUCAGAAGGUUAGGCUAAUUGCUGGGAACUAGCUACUAGCUACUUUCAUAUUGUUCUCCACCUCCCAUCACCCAGCUUUAAAACUCUGCCCUAAAUGUGUCUCAACAGAAAGAAUGAACCACUUAACUUCCAGUUCACUUCUUGCAAUGGUGACGUAGAGUGACAUCCCAGCCCCACUGCCUGUCUUUUGCAGGCUUGCUAUCUGUGUCGUCAUCCAAAACACACAUAGGUUGUGCAUAGCUAUUGGGAGAAUUAUCUUGGGCCAAUUUGGAGCAAUACUGUGCCUUAAUACAAGUAAUUACAGCGAUUAAUAAUAUCACAAUUUCAUGGACGUUUUUAAGCAUAUCAGCAAAAUGAAAGAAAAACGAACCAAACAAAAAGUUCCUCAUUCCUAAGACAAAAUGCAGUCAGACCCCUGAAGUGAAUAGGAAAAUUCCCAAGCUUCAAAAAAGCAUUUGACAUCUUUGUUAGUAAACAAACACUGCAUUUCUUGUGACACUGAGUUAGGGUACAGCGUGUUCUGUCUCGUUCUCCCUCUCCUUGUGCUUGUUUCUCUUCUCCUCCUGCCCCCAUAGCUGGCAAGCUGAUUCCAGAGGCUGAUGACAGCACCCGUGCCUCUUUCCCCUCGAGUGCACUUGCUCGGCAUCUGAGAGGAUUGCUUUCUUGCCCUUGGGUAGCCAGUCACGCAAUGUGAAAGAUGCAGGAGUUCACGGACUGCUGAGUGCUUAGAUGCUGCACUUUCUUAAGUGAAGGCAACUAGCGAGCAAGUGCAGCAAUUAGAAGUAAAAGAAAACAUUUUUUUUUUUUUUUCAGCGGGGAACAUUUGUUGACCUCACAGCUAUUACUUAAAAUGGGAAGGAAAAAAAGAAAAGAAAAUCUCUCUAUGGAUAGAUCUUUUUUUUAAAGGAGUAUUUAUGCUUUCCUCCAUUAAAUUCAUUGUAUUGUGCAAAGAGAACACCCCCACUUGGAUCUCAUUCUUUUAAAUACAACUUUUCUAACUUUUUUAAAAUAGGGAAGUGUUAUUAGAAAGGAGUUUUGACAAUGACACUGUGAUUUCUAGUGGUAUCUUAAUCUGCAUUUGCCAUGCCUUUCCUUGUGAAGGAUUUUGUAGAUAAUCCAGCAGCUUUUCCAUACUUAUAUUUUUUGCUUGGAAUACAAUCAAAAUAGUUUUCUAAAUGAGAAGUACAGUGUAAGUCACCUGUUCAGAUAACCCAAACUGAUUUGUCAUUUGGAGAAACACAGGCUAAAUGCUUAAACUUGUGAAAACCCCUUGAGAUUUUCACUGAACACAGAUGGUCGAGACCUUCGUUUUGUAUUUUUCCAAUUAAACUGUCUUGGAUCUCUGGCUGCUGCACGGAGGUAUUCCAUUCACCAGUAUUCAAAGAAAAGAUAUGUAUAUUCCUAACGCAGUUCUCUCUGCUAUUGAUUUUGAAAUUCACUGUCAAGAAUGGGAACUAAGUUUCUUUGUAUCAUCGAGUAAUAUCUUCUGAGGUUUGCACUGUGUUACUUGCAUGGCAUAAUGAAUAUAUCAAUAGAGUGAGUGAAACUGAAGCUAGAUCAAGCUAUAUUUUCCUGCUUCAGAAUAUCUGGAAUCUGGAAGUUUCAGAUCUGAUGUUGGUGUAGAAGCCUAAUGUGGUUUGCUGUAUUUGAGUCUGAUGGAAGUCCUGUCACUUGAGAUAGAAGUAUGAUGAUGGAGUAAAGCAGGACUUUCUGAAACAUUAAUCAAGUUCGAAAUGAUACAAGAAUGCAAAAGAAAAGCUUGGCUAUACAUAUUCUUGCAAGAGAGGAGAUGUAAUGCUGAGGUCAGGACAGCCCAGAAGCUUUAGUCUGAGUGUAGAAAGAGUGUCUAAACACCAAAGGAAGUCUUUAGUUUCUAGAAAGCGUUAUUUGAACUUUUUCAGUCUUAAAAUCUAAUUCAGACAUAAAAUGUUACCUCUUGAUGUCCUAUCUGAUGAGGCAAUGCUUCUGUUGCUGUGUUGGGCCUACUGGUUGUUGCUGGAUUGUAAGGCAGGAAAGAGGAACAGCUUGUGAAGAAUCCAAAUCUAGUGCUUGGUGGCUCCAAGUGCCAACAGCCUACAAAAUCUCUCUGAUCACUGUGGCAAGUAUGCCUUUGGAAUGACUGUCAUCUUGUCUCUCCGAAACUGAUGAGGUGGCAUCACAACUUAAGCUAUUUUCAUAUAAGUAGGUCCAGGAGACUAUGGGGAACUCUGUCCCUGGUGUUUCACUCCUGGGUAUUACAAGCACACACCCAACAUCAGCUUGAGAAGGCUCUUGCAGUCAAGUCUCGGGGAGCCUCACAGAUUCAUAUUACUGUACCUUAUGGGCUGCAUCAAGUUGUUGAGCUCCAGUUUGGCUUCAGUUAUUAAGUGAACUUUCCUCAUUUCAAAUUGUUCCCAAGACUCCUUUUCCCUUCAAUAACCUUAAAAAGUGAUCACAUUAUUCUCAAGUUGUUGCUUAUGGGCUCAAAUGGAAUUUAAACUGCCUGUCUGACAAUGAUGAAUGAAUCAGCUCCAAAUCCUUUGAUGUGGAUCAGCUAUGUAGCAUAACAAUAAUAUUGUUGCUUAACAUUUAUACUGAAGUAAUACCAUAAGGAAUCUUAGCCAUUCAGGGGCCUAUUUUGUUAAGUGCUGAGCAAAGCAUGUGGCAAAAUAGCAAGUCUUGUUCUGAAGACAAGACUUGCUAGAAGACAAGAUGUACCAAUUGGAAGAGACCAAGAGAAAGGAGUGGAAAGAUAUAAAUGAUAGUUGCACCUUUGUAGUACCAUACAGACCCUGCGUCCUGCUUGACUUUCUUGCACAGUUUUCUGCCAUGUUGAUUCUGGGUCUUGCUCAACACUUCCAUCAUUACUCAAAUCCAACUGUACUGAAACUGUCCUCUCCCUUGCUCUUGUAAUCGGGCUUAUUUGGAAAGAUUUUUUUUUUCUUUCUUCCCUCGACAACCUUUUUCAACUAACUCAUCCUUGCUGCUGUUCAUGGUCCCUUGUGUCUUACAGGGGAGGGGUUUUAAAUCAGUCAAUUAAUCUGUGGAACCAUUUUCUCUGGAAGACCAGUGCCACCAAUUACAAUAAGAACAGAUUUAAGCUUUUUAUUUCUGUUGAAUGCUUUUGAAUGUCUCAUCCUGGUUAUACAGUGAUACAAAUAUAUCUUUUAAAAACAAAACAAAAACACCACACAAGUGUUAAUAGGAUAUUUUAAGGUGUUUUUUUUUUUAAUCACAUAAACUUUGUACAUAUAUGUCCAUGUGCAUGAAGAUACUAGUAUCUAAAAGAACACUCGGGGUCUCAGGCUGUACUCCUGGAUAUUCUUAUGUUAAGGUUCUGUAUACGGGCAUAAAUGCUUCCCUGUACCCUGAGUAUGUUGUAACACACUUACAUAGUUCUGGGAUAGCAUGUGCUGCAGUGUUUUUGACUCGGGAAUCUUGAGUUCUCUUAGAGAUUUUGGAGCAGAAUGAAGUGUACUCGCAUACACUUUGCUCCUCACUCCAGCAGUGUUUGAUCUGCCUAUCACAACAUCUUCACGCUGUUUAUGUCCCACUCCUGUCUGUCUUGUAAGAUGCAAGGAGAAUGUGUGGUGUCCAGACACUGAAUCAUCUAACAGCCGGAAAUUACAGUAUCUACAGUUUAAAAAAUCCAUCUAUGUAAUUAGUUUCUCUCAAGAGAAUCUAACUGGACUAAAAAAUGCAAACAAUGUGCCUGAAUGGCAAAGCAAUUUCCAAAAUACCUCCUGACCUGGAAACAGAAUAUAUAUAACAGGACUUGGCCUCUGUGUUGCUGCUUACUUGUGAAGCAGUUGGAUAUCAUCUUGUCACAGAAUAUAAAUAUUAUUUUUUUGAAAUGCGUUCUUCUGACCUGAAUGGCUUGUGCUAUAUUAUUUAACAUAAUUUAUUUUACUAUGUGAGUCUGUACUCAGCCAUAAGCACUUGACUACUGUCAAACAGAAACGGGUCCAGGUGCUAACUUUUAAAUGCCCAAGGAAACAGAGUGAGUUAUAUAUAAUUAAAAUGUUUGUGAAUAGUUCCAAAUGGCAAAUGAUUUGUUUUUCUUUUCUGCUUUUCUUUCUGUCUCUCAUGUGAAGAGUAUAGGAAAAGACUGUAUCUUGCCCUGAAAUGACAAGGUAAUUGGUGUUAAUUCAUGAUUACUGUGUCUCGAUUUGGCAUAUCAAAAUUAGAUAGAAUUACUUUAAAGCAGAGUAAGGAAUGCCUUGUCAAAUCCCUCAGACAUGCCUUUUUGGACUGUCUUGCACUCUCCAUAGCUGCAGAGUAGCUAUACAUUUGGCCAUUUUAGCAUUUACCUGCAAUGAGUCUGUUGGAAACCACAUUUAAGUGUGCUUUGCUUAUUGAUAAUUUUAUGGAGGGAGAAUGGUUUCUGGAUUAGCUAGGGAAAGUGGUGUGUUUCUAUCAUGUAAUUACAGGAUUACUGCACAUUCAAUUGGAUUCCUGGGCAAUUCAAACACAAAUUGUUUUUGCAUGUAAAGAAAGCUAUUAUGGGGCUGGAUUACAUUAAAGGGAAAAGAAAAAAGCAGUAGAUAAAACUGAGCAGCAGAACAUGAAGGAAUAGUGAGAAAAAUAAAAAUAUAUAUGCCAGUAAAUUGCGAAAACGGUUGCUGUGAUUACUUGAGAAGUAUGUCAAAACACAUUUUGAAAGAUGACGAUAUGCCACUCUUGUGAAUACUGGAGUAUUGAAAAAGAAUGAAAUAAUGGGAGGAAGGGAUAAAUUCCAAACACAGUUUCAUCUUUUAAAGCAUAUAUUGUGUCCUGUAUGUCCAAGUUCAACACUGUAUUCUGAGAGAUGCCUUUCGGCCACCAUAGAAUUUAGUCAUGAAAACAUACAGUGGUGUUUGACAAAAUGUGCAAGAAGGGGAAAUCUCGUUGCAGUUUAUUGAAGAUCGAUGGUAAUUUAGAUCCAGUUCAGAAAAGGCGCUAUGUUCUUUAAUCAUUUCUUGGCUAGUGUGCUAAUAAAAAUGCAGUGUAUAGUGCUAAUACUGUAUUUCAACCAAUUUAGUAACAAACAAUUGCUUUGUGAGAAACAAAAGGGAUUCAUCCUUAAGAUGGAUAUAUGGUUGCAAUUAUGAUGGUAACGAAUUGGGCCUUAAUUGUAUUUGCUAAGCUGCAGGAAACAUUACAAAAACUUUAGUGUUUUGAGAGGAGAAUGAGGCAUAUAGGAGGCAAAUACUUCUUAACUUAAAGUCAGAUUUAGAUAUGGAGAGUAUUUAUACGUAUUACUGAGCCUAAAUAGUAGGAGAAAGCUCUGAAAAAAGAUACUUGGCAUUGGUGAGAUUGUCUUCUCAACGGAAAUUUGUAAUCAAUGGAAAUUAGGCUCCAUGAUGCCUAAAGUACACCUAAUGAGGCAAAUAUAAACUCCAGAGUAACUAAGGUAGAUUAGACAACGUUGUCUUGGUUUGUGGAAAGAAUCUUUAAGAUCAAUAUUCUUGAAGCAGAAGAAUAAACCUCCACAAUAGGCAAGUAGUGAAGCAAGCAUGGAAGAAGAUAUUCACUGAACAGAAAACUCCUUGCUGAGCUUAAAUACACAAAGUCCACAAAGGUAGAAAUCAAAGAAUCAUAGGACAUUCUGAACUGGAAGGAAUGCAUGGGCUCUCCAACUCUGGGCUCUACGCAAGAACACUGAAAGUUCAAAACUCUUUGUAUGAGAGCAUUGUCCAAACACUUCUUGAACUCUUGCAGGCUUGGGGCCAUGAGCAAAACACAGCCCAUUAGUGGUGCCUCUUGCUUAGGAACUGUGCAGCCAUAGAGGGGGGGCAAUGUCAGGCCCUGGGCAAAAUGGCCACUCUGAACACACCAGUCCAUGAGACAGGAAAGCAGGGUAAAAACUGAUGACUGUGCUGACUACAACACCAACCACUGUUGUCACUGGCUACUGCAGUAGGGAGGCCAUCCCAGGGAGGACAGUGCUUCUCUUCUCAGUGGGCUGCUGCACGGGGUCUUCCCUCUCCUUGCUCUCUGUAUCCUGACCUUCCCUCUGGAAGCAGCAGGUCCUCCUCUGCCACCAGCUGUGAGUUCCAUACAUGCAGCUCUGUGUGAGGCAACCUUUCCAAGUAUCAGCAGAGAUCUCUUCCAGGGCCAGCCUUCUUGUGAGCCCAUCUCAUGACUCCUCAAACUUGUGCAGCACCGGGGUGAGGGUGGCUGACUUCUUUACCAGGUGCUGGAAGAGGUUGAAGGGGGCCAGCUCUUUGGAAGCCGGAAACAAGACCAUUUCCUCAGGCACCCUCUUGUAACCUAAGAUGAAGCAGUUGAGGUGUUUCUUCUCCAGGCAGCAGCAGAGGUUUUGCAGGAGAUAUUCCAGCCACAGGGGCAAUCCCACUUGGGGCUAUGGUCAUCAGGUGGCAAAUCACAACUGUCUUCAAGGCUUGGAGGGAAAAGCCUGUACCCACCAGCAGAUGGGUGCAGGCCUGCAGAUAGGUGAGGUGGAAGCUGUGGUGCCAGGCAUACCUGGCCUUGUGCUUGGUGAACUACAUCUCAACUCCAGUGCAGUUUUUUGGCUGUGCUGUUCUGCUCGAGCAGCUGGCCUCAGCCUACUUGAUGCUCAGAAAAGUGCCUGAGACACUGAGCUCCACCUGAACCCUCAUCUCAAUAGAGAAGGUGCUACUGAAUAUAUUCUUACCUACCAGAAACAAAAGGCAGCUAUGGAAAAAAAGCCUUAGUGAUAAACAACAGCUUGAAAAAAAGUCAUAUUUAAAGGAAAACUGUUUUUUGCUGUUGAUUUAGCUUAUAGACACACACACAAAAAGACUAUUAACAGAGAUUCAGAGCUAUUAACAAUGCUAUCCCUUUUACUUAAGUAACAAAAUACUUAAAAACAUACUUUUCAAGAUAGAAACAUAGAAACGUAACCUGAGCCUAUGCAAUGCACAGGAAAGUGUCAGAGUUGUGAAGCUACGCCCCAAGUAUCAUCUCAAUGAAGGUGUUCAUGGAGGGAGUGGUCAGCUUGAUCUUGCAUGAAUGGCAGGACGGGAGCACCUUCAGGUGGCAGUUGUACGACUGAGGCAGAUGCUUCCAGGCUGAAUUUUGCCUGGUUUUGGAACCAGCACAUGCUUUUCUCCAUGUGCAGAUAAGAGCCUGUGCAGAAGGUGUUGAGGAAGUUGGGCUCCUAUUUUUCACUCAGCUCCUCCUGAAUGUGGUGGAGAAAGCAGUGCAUGUUCCCCAGCAGCUGCUCUCUCACGCAGGUGCGCUCCAGCUCCAUGCGCAGACAGGACUUCCUCGCCAGAAUCUCCUCUUCAUCUCCCAGCUCUACGUGGAAGGUGUGCCUGGGGGGAGGCCUCAGGGGCAUGAGCAGGCAGUAGAGGAUGUUGUCUUGGUGGGCACUCCAUCCUUCGUAGAUGCAGGGCACUCCAAUGGCCGGCUGCAGCCAGGGCAUGAAGCUGUGGCAUGAUUGCCCUCAGCAGGUGUGAAGGUCCUCCACCAGCUGGCACUUGUCAGCCAUGUACGGUGCUGGCCACUGGGUGCUGUUGGUCCAAACUCUACCUAGGUCACGUGUCUCAUUCGAGUUACUGCCUUCUUUGACCUUCACGUCCUCUUCCUCCUCCUCCUUGCUUCUGGAGCUUUCCUGGUUGCUGCUGCUGCAGACCAGAUUACAGUCCAUGUUCCUGAGGCAGAAGCAGAGUCCAAAGAAGACAUCAAGGAUUGCAGCACAGGCCCAAAUCUUGCUGCUCCUCUCUGGCCUACAUCCCCUUUUCUUGUUUCACCAACAGAGGCCAAAGAGCAGGAAAAGGACUCCAGCAAAGGCCCAGAGCUGCCAGUACUGUAGAGCAGCAACGAGCAGGGCUCUCUUGGCUGCCUCGCUCUGCCCGUGGCUCCCCUGCUCCAUGCUGUACAGUGGCUGAGCCAUGUCCAGACUCAGCUGUUCUGCACACAGCCACACACACUCAUACAUAUCACCAUGCAUGAGUUGAAUUCCCAAAGGGAUGAUUCCCAUCAACACCAGAGUGAUGAAGACCACCUGAGCCAUAGCCGCUAGCAGGUGCGUACUGCACUCGUUGAAGGCCUAGGCCAAAGUGCUGCAGUGCUGCCUCUUACAGCCUCCUGACAUGGCCACCAGUGUGAGUUGUCUGCUGCUGUCACAGAUACAGCCAUAUUACUGCACUCCUCUGCCCUGCUCCCUCCUCUCCUUGAUCCAUUCAUGUUAGCAUUUAUCAAAAUAUACAGAUUUUAAGUCACUUUUUAUUACAAUUCCAAUGAUUUGUACUAAGUUUUUAAUAGAAGGCAUCU